rnacentral:rRNA from 1 species
UGAUCCUGGCUCAGAACGAACGCUGGCGGCAUGCCUAACACAUGCAAGUCGAACGAGACCUUCGGGCUUAGUGGCGCACGGGUGCGUAACGCGUGGGAAUCUGCCCUUUGCUUCGGAAUAACAGUGAGAAAUGACUGCUAAUACCGGAUGAUGACUUGGGACCAAAGAUUUAUCGCCAAGGGAUGAGCCCGCGUAGGAUUAGGUAGUUGGUGGGGUAAAGGCCUACCAAGCCGACGAUCCUUAGCUGGUCUGAGAGGAUGAUCAGCCACACUGGGACUGAGACACGGCCCAGACUCCUACGGGAGGCAGCAGUGGGGAAUAUUGGACAAUGGGCGAAAGCCUGAUCCAGCAAUGCCGCGUGAGUGAUGAAGGCCUGAGGGUCGUAAAGCUCUUUUACCAGGGAUGAUAAUGACAGUACCUGGAGAAUAAGCUCCGGCUAACUCCGUGCCAGCAGCCGCGGUAAU